rnacentral:lncRNA from 1 species
ACAUAUUGUGCCCAGAUUCGUAGUGAAAGAUAGAGGCUCCGUCCUCAUGGCUUGAUUGAAACAUUUUUCUUCGUUGGUUGGAUAACUGAACAAAGUUAUUCAUUAAUAUUUAAGAAAAUGGGUAGAAUUAAUAGUUUAUUGAGUUGAUUUGAUACACAAUCACCUCUUGCAUAACAAUGAAAAUGGUGUUCCUUUUUUUCUUCAGAUCUGGAAAAAUGGUUUUUGCUGAAGAUUUUAAGGUGAGAGGGGAUUUGGUAUGAAUUUGUUUUUAUUUUUUAAAAAAAUUAAUGUUUUGAUAGAUGAAUUCUGGCCAGAGAGAUUGGAGAUAAGUUUAUUG